rnacentral:rRNA from 1 species
AGCAGCCGCGGUAAUUCCAGCUCCAAUAGCGUAUAUUAAAGUUGUUGCAGUUAAAAAGCUCGUAGUUGAAUUUCGGGGUUAGUAGGUUGGUCAUGCCUCCGGUAUGUACUGGCCUCACUGAUUCCUCCUUCCUGAUGAACCGUAAUGCCAUUAAUUUGGUGUUGCGGGGAAUUUGGACUGUUACUUUGAAAAAAUUAGAGUGUUUAAAGCAGGCUCACGCUUGAAUACAUUAGCAUGGAAUAAUGAAAUAGGACGUUUGAUUCUAUUUUGUUGGUUUCUAGGAUCGACGUAAUGAUUAAUAGGGAUAGUUGGGGGCAUUAGUAUUCAAUUGUCAGAGGUGAAAUUCUUGGAUUUAUUGAAGACUAACUACUGCGAAAGCAUUUGCCAAGGAUGUUUUCAUUAAUCAAGAACGAAAGUUAGGGGAUCGAAGACGAUCAGAUACCGUCGUAGUCUUAACCAUAAACUAUGCCGACUAGGGAUCGGAUGAUGUUAAUUUUUUAAUGACUCAUUCGGCGCCUUACG